AUACGGAGGGGGCUAGCGUUGUUCGGAAUUACUGGGCGUAAAGCGCACGUAGGCUGUUGUUCAAGUUGGGCGUGAAAGCCCGGGGCUCAACCCCGGAAUUGCGCUCAAAACUAGACAGCUAGAGUCCGAGAGAGGUGAGUGGAAUUCCCAGUGUAGAGGUGAAAUUCGUAGAUAUUGGGAAGAACACCAGUGGCGAAGGCGGCCACCUGGACCGGUACUGACGCUGAGGUGCGAAAGCGUGGGGAGCAAACAGGAUUAGAUACCCCGGUAGUCC
rnacentral:rRNA from 1 species